CUUUCAUGUAUUCUAUAUGAAGAAGAUUUUUCAGUCAACACGAUUUGAGAUGAAACAAGCAACAUGCAUGUUUAAUUUGACCAACGUCGGAUUAAGCAUGUGUGUCAAAGAGCGUUCGGAUUUAUUUUUGAAUUUCAUGAUUGCAUAUGCAGUCAAAAGAGCCAAUUCUGGCAUUUAUGUUCCUUACAGGGAAUUACCCGCAUAGCGGGAAAAGAGGAUUAUGAUAAAACCCGCAUGGCGGGGAAAGUCUGGGAAAAUACCUGCGUAACUGGGUAAAGUUGACAUAGUAUUAUGUCAAAAAUCCUAUACGUCAGGAGAAAUUUUGGCAAAGAACUUAUCCUGUAUGACAGGAGAAAGAUAUGAUGACUCAUGUGCGUUUGAUGUGUCCCACUCUGGGAGAAAAGUACGGAGUAGUUAUUAUGCUUUCCUAGUAUUGACCGUACACCUUAUGUGUAACGGUCAUUAAGCACUCAAUAAAUCCAAAGAGAAUAAAAGUUACAGACGAACCUAAAGAUAAGAAUGAUAUGCAAGUGUGACUUGCAAAAGUACUAAUGAUAAAGAACUAUUUUGAGUUUCCGAAAUGGAAUGAGGAAUAAGGAAAAAGUACUCCCAUACCGUUAACAGAUAACUUCAUUACAUAUGAAGUAAUCAGAUACAUGAAGUAGAUACUCAAAGUUUCCUCAAUUCACAAGAGUUGUGAAUGGUUUUUCGAAAUUGUGGCAGAAAAGUUCUUGCCACAUUUCGAGGGGGAGAAAGAAAUAUGAGAUAUCCAUUAAUGAAGAAUGUGAUCAUCUGGGGGAGUACGACGAUCAUAAUAAUACCCCUAAAGAAAAGAAAUAGAUGUAUUCCUGGAUCUUUUACAGUUCCGAAAGCAGACUAAGGAAUACUAAGACGGUGCUUAAAGUGCCAUAAAGAAGAAAGUUUUAACAGAUUAAACCCAAAUAAUAAAGUUUAAAGAUACGCCAUUUUUUAGUAAAGAUGGAGUAAUGUGGGGGAGCAUGGUAUGAAAAUACCUAAGACUCGAAUAGAUUGUAUCUGGGGGAGCAUGUUGUAUGACUUAUACAACACCUGUUGUUAGCUCCAUAAAGGAGGAAUGAGUAAACAUGGAUCUUGUGAUACAGGUCCUGUAAAACCUAUUGCCUCUUGGAAGUGAAAGACUACAAUUAAUUUGCCUCUUGGCAAUGACAGAGCAACAACAGCCCCAUAUGAAAGAAAUGCCAGUACCUGAGACACAGAUGGUCUCAAGGAAUGAGAAAAUCAGAUACUUCUGAUUACUAUAAAGUCUAUGUUAGUGAAAUUCAAAUGGAGGUUGAUCCCACCUCAUUUAAAGCGCUCAAUCGAGCUUUGAGAAGUGUCUGCUUAUCUAAAUGAUAAGAGACUAUGUGAGAUGAAAUGAAAUUGGUGAAUUCUGACGAUGUUCGGGACUCAUGAGUAAUUUCCAAUGAAGCCAAAACAGUAGGCUGUAAAGAGUCUACAAGGACAAUGUGACUCCAAAGGAAAUAUGUAAAGGUGUAAAACACGACUAAAAUCGAAAGGUUUUUUGCGCAUUUUACACUGAAUAGAUUACAAUGAGUGUUGGUAGCACAUCAUGAUCUGAGUUACAUCAGAUGAAAGAUAUUAUGAUCUGAGUUACAUCAGAUGAAAGUAAAGAACACAGGGGAUACUGCCUGAAGAAGUCUUUUAUGGACUAAAGCAAUCAAAUGUUGUUUUGGGUUAAAGAAAAUGAGAGGACAAUUGUGUUUGUAUAAAGUUAUAGAAUGGGAAUUUCAUUUCCUAUAUCUUGUACAUGCGGAUAACAUUCUGCUUGUUAGUAGUGAUGUUAAUUCGACUGCAGGAGGAAAAGAAGUUCUUGUCCUCAAAGUUUAAAAGAAUGUCUCUCGUUAUAAGGAUCGAGAUUCACCGAGAAAAGAAUAAAAGGGGUAUUAGGUGUGUCGCAUGGGCAUGCUAAGGAAAGUUUCUAAAGUAUGCAUGCGAGAAAACCUACGCCUGUUCUUAUAGUAAAGGGUAAUGAUUUUGGGAACUUUAGUGUUCCAAAAGUCAAUACGAAAUAGACCAAAUGAAUAUGGUACCAUAUGCUUCAGCUGUUGGAAGCUUAAUGAAUGCAAAAGUAUAACAUUACCGUGACACAGUUCACGUAACCGGGUUGUUUUGGUAAUGUCCAGUCCAGAUAUAGAUCACUGGAAUGGAGUCAAGGAUAUCGGCCUCAUGCUGAAAGAAAUAAGUGCUCUCAAAAGAUUGUGAGUACAAAGACAGGACUCGUGAAAUAUACAGCGAAAUCCACAAUUGUCGCUGACUUUCACACUUGGAGUUUUUGUGUGGAAAAACUCUAAAGAAUGAAUCAAUUAUCAUUAAUAUGAUGUAAAGAUAAUGUACAACAUGAUAUGAGGCUGAGGGACAGGCAAAAAGGUUAAAGAAACAAGUACCCGGAAUUGAUAAUGGUUGACAACAGCGAUAACCAUUUUAAGUUUUUCGCUCCUAUGACAACGAGUCAAGUGUUGAUGCCAAACACACUGACAUAGAGUUAUGCGUUGUAAAGGAGAAAGUCCGGAAUCAUGUAGAAAUGCUUGAAGCAUAAAAGCAACAGACAAGUGUUUGCAGAUCUGCUUAUUAAAGGCUUGCCGCCCAGUGUGUUUGGAGAACACUCAGUCGACAUGGGUUUUAUGGUAUAGUCUAAGAUUUCCGGAUAAUAAAAGGGCCCAGGGUUAAAUAAUCUGUUUCAAAACAGAGGAGUGUGUUGUAGGUGUUGAUUCUAUCGGGAAUGAACCGUGAUGAUGAGACAUGCUCUACAUGCAAAUCUGUGAUGGAACGAGUACUUUGAAAAGAGUUAUUUCAAAGUAUAAAGUUAAAAGUAUAAUGAUGAGAUCAAGGGGGAGAAUGUUAGGUUGAGCUCUCCACCAAUGGGCCCAAUGGCUCAUUGGGCCCUUGACCCACGCCCUGAUCGGGGGCGUCCAGCCCAAGCAAGGCUGGUGGGCCCCUGUCGCGCAGUGCUAUAAAGAGGAGGCGGGGACCAGGGGUACGAGGUUCGUCACCGCCACUGUUCCCCACUCCUAACCCUAUCCGAUCCAGAGGGAGGCACUGAAGCGAUGGGAAGCUCCACCGCUGCCACUCAUGCACUUCACCGUCGACCUCUACACCGACCGUCGCUGCCCGUGCGCAGUCCUCCAUCGACGAACCAGCAAUGGCCGGAACGCUAAGAGUAGAAGGAGAAGAAAUAUAGCGCGUCUGCUGGAGCGGCUCGCGCGCGCUACAUUUUGCAACGACCGCUGAAACCGACGCUUCGCAGCAUGUAAAAACUGGCUACGAAGGCGCUGUAAACGCUUUUUUAGCGCGCCGCGUGUUGCGCGCUUGUUGGAGAUUCUCUCAGUACGUGAGAGACAUGAUAAAUAAUUAAAUCGUACAGUACAUUUUUCUAGCAAA